rnacentral:rRNA from 1 species
GAGGAAUAUUGGUCAAUGGACGAGAGUCUGAACCAGCCAAAUCGCGUGAAGGAAGACUGCCCUACGGGUUGUAAACUUCUUUUGUACAGGAAUAAAAGACAUUACGUGUAAUGUAUUGCAUGUACUGUACGAAUAAGCAUCGGCUAACUCCGUGCCAGCAGCCGCGGUAAUACGGAGGAUGCGAGCGUUAUCCGGAUUUAUUGGGUUUAAAGGGUGCGCAGGCGGGAUUUUAAGUCAGCGGUGAAAUUUUCAGGCUCAACCUGAACACUGCCGUUGAAACUGGGAUUCUGGAGUAUGGAUGAAGUAGGCGGAAUUCGUUGUGUAGCGGUGACAUGCUUAGAUAUAACGAGGAACUCCGAUUGCGUAGGCAGCUUACUGGGGUACAACUGACACUGAGGCUCGAAAGUGUGGGUAUCAAAC